rnacentral:rRNA from 1 species
AGAGUUUGAUCAUGGCUCAGGAUGAACGCUAGCUACAGGCUUUACACAUGCAAGUCGAACGGCAGCACAGGGAGCUUGCUCCCGGGUGGCGAGUGGCGCACGGGUGAGUAAUACAUCGGAACGUGUCCUGUUGUGGGGGAUAACUGCUCGAAAGGGUGGCUAAUACCGCAUGAGACCUGAGGGUGAAAGCGGGGGAUCGCAAGACCUCGCGCAAUUGGAGCGGCCGAUGCCCGAUUAGCUAGUUGGUGAGGUAAAGGCUCACCAAGGCGACGAUCGGUAGCUGGUCUGAGAGGACGACCAGCCACACUGGGACUGAGACACGGCCCAGACUCCUACGGGAGGCAGCA